GAUGAACGCUGACAGAAUGCUUAACACAUGCAAGUCUUUGGCGAAGCUGUGCUUGCACAGCCUAGCCAAGGCGGACGGGUGAGUAACGCGUAAGGAACUUGCCCUGCAGUCAGGGAUAACAGACGGAAACGACUGAUAAGACCUGGUAAAGUCAGGCGGACUCAUGUCCAGCCUGAUGAAAAGAGAUGCUGCAGGAGAGCCUUGCGUCCUAUUAGCUUGUUGGUGGGGUAACGGCCCACCAAGGCGAUGAUAGGUAGCCGGCCUGAGAGGGUGGACGGCCACAAGGGGACUGAGAUACGGCCCUUACUCCUACGGGAGGCAGCAGUGGGGAAUAUUGGACAAUGGGGGCAACCCUGAUCAAGCAAUUCUGUGUGCACGAUGAAGGUUUUCGGAUUGUAAAGUGCUUUCAGCAGGGAAGAAAAAAUGACGGUACCUGCAGAAGAAGCGACGGCUAAAUACGUG
rnacentral:rRNA from 1 species